ACUUCGGUGGGGAUUAGUGGCGAACGGGUGAGUAACACGUGGGCAAUCUGCCCUGCACUCUGGGACAAGCCCUGGAAACGGGGUCUAAUACCGGAUAUGAGCCUCCAUGGCAUCUUGGAGGCUGUAAAGCUCCGGCGGUGCAGGAUGAGCCCGCGGCCUAUCAGCUUGUUGGUGAGGUAAUGGCUCACCAAGGCGACGACGGGUAGCCGGCCUGAGAGGGCGACCGGCCACACUGGGACUGAGACACGGCCCAGACUCCUACGGGAGGCAGCAGUGGGGAAUAUUGCACAAUGGGCGAAAGCCUGAUGCAGCGACGCCGCGUGAGGGAUGACGGCCUUCGGGUUGUAAACCUCUUUCAGCAUGGAAGAAGCGAAAGUGACGGUACCUGCAGAAAAAGCGCCGGCUAACUACGUGCCAGCAUCCGCGGUAAUA
rnacentral:rRNA from 1 species